rnacentral:rRNA from 1 species
CCUACGGGUGACAGCAGUGAGGAAUAUUGGUCAAUGGGCGGAAGCCUGAACCAGCCAAGUAGCGUGCGGGAUGAAGGCCCUACGGGUCGUAAACCGCUUUUGCACGGGGAUAACACCCUCCACUUGUGGAGGUCUGCAGGUACCGUGCGAAUAAGGGCCGGCUAAUUCCGUGCCAGCAGCCGCGGUAAUACGGAAGGCCCGAGCGUUAUCCGGAUUCAUUGGGCGUAAAGGAAGCGUAGGCGGGCGUUCAAGUCAGCUGUAAAAUCGCGCGGCUCAACCGCGCCCCGCAGUUGAACAUGGACGCAUUGAUUUCACAACAGGCAGGCGGAAUUCGUGGUGUAGCGGUGACAUGCAUAGCUAUCACGAGGAACCCCGAUUGCGAAGGCAGCCGGCCGGGGUGCGACUGACGCUGAGGCUCGAAGGUGCGGGUAUCAAACAGGAUUAGAUACCCGAGUAGUC